rnacentral:rRNA from 1 species
AGAGUUUGAUCAUGGCUCAGAACGAACGCUGGCGGCAUGCCUAACACAUGCAAGUCGAACGAGACCUUCGGGUCUAGUGGCGCACGGGUGCGUAACGCGUGGGAAUCUGCCCUUGGGUUCGGAAUAACAGCGAGAAAUUGCUGCUAAUACCGGAUGAUGACGUAAGUCCAAAGAUUUAUCGCCCAAGGAUGAGCCCGCGUAGGAUUAGCUAGUUGGUGAGGUAAAAGGGCUCACCAAGGCGACGAUCCUUAGCUGGUCUGAGAGGAUGAUCAGCCACACUGGGACUGAGACACGGCCCAGACUCCUACGGGAGGCAGCAGUGGGGAAUAUUGGACAAUGGGCGAAAGCCUGAUCCAGCAAUGCCGCGUGAGUGAUGAAGGCCUUAGGGUUGUAAAGCUCUUUUACCCGGGAUGAUAAUGACAGUACCGGGAGAAUAAGCUCCGGCUAACUCCGUG